rnacentral:rRNA from 1 species
AUACGGAGGCUGCGAGCGUUAAUCGGAAUUACUGGGCGUAAAGCGUACGUAGGCGGUUUGCUAAGUCAGAUGUGAAAGCCCCGGGCUUAACCUGGGAACUGCAUUUGAUACUGGCAGACUAGAGUAUGAUAGAGGGGGGUAGAAUUCCUGGUGUAGCGGUGAAAUGCGUAGAUAUCAGGAGGAAUACCAGUGGCGAAGGCGGCCCCCUGGAUCAAUACUGACGCUGAGGUACGAAAGCGUGGGGAGCGAACAGGAUUAGAAACCCCAGUAGUCC